rnacentral:lncRNA from 1 species
AUCACAAAUUUCCACUAGAAACUGGAAGAGAGAAUAGAGGAAAACAUAGUGGAGAGCAGUAUAAGGCUAUGGGUACAAUCAAGCAACAAUAUCAACUGCCUUCGACUUCUCUAAUGCAAGGAUGGAGUCCACCACUUCCUUCUCCUUCUCAGGGAAUGAGAAUCCACAUAUCAUCCCUUGAUCAUGAAGAAUUUGGGAGGGAACCUAGUGGGCAUGGCUGGUCACCUUCUUCUUUCUCUUUGGAAGAAUCAGCUUCGCUAUCAUGAUUUUAACCACCUCGAUAGCCUUGGAUCUAGGAGGCCUCCUUGAUUCCAAUGAGGAGUGAACAAGAGGGAACUGACUUCCAAUUCCC